UGCGGUUCCUUUUAAAAACAAGAGUUUGC
rnacentral:piRNA from 1 species